rnacentral:lncRNA from 1 species
CCAGAAGUGAGGCAGCUAAUGAAUAAAAUAGUCAUGUGAAAAUUGCUUUUUACAUAGGUCACAGAUCUUUCAAGUCUCCCAACUUGUUUGCAAAUCACUAAAGGAACAGAGUAUGGAGGCCUGAUAUUUCAUACUAGUAAGGAACAAAGCAAAUACUAUGAAGGCUUGUGAAAUUAGAGAUGAUGAGAACUGAAACAAACCCUCCCAAUGGAAUUCUUGGAUUGGGCUGUUCACCUAUUAAAGGAGCUCAGAGAUAACCACCAAGCUGGGGGAAAAUGGAACAUAAGAUAUCCAUGAGCCUGUGUAUGAAUUCCAUUAAUUCAAAUGGAAAUUUCACAUAUAUUGUACAUCAAGUGGAGAUGAAGUUCCUUUUUAUAUUCGACUCUAUAAUUCAGUACGUACAUUAAUUGUUUUGAUGUAUGAUUCAAAGUAUGGGUUAUGCUUAAUGCACAAAGCCUUAAAAGAUGAAAAAAGGAUAACUGAAGCUUAACACUUACAUUUCCUUAAACCAAAAAGGUGAACACAAUGGAGAGAAAGAAAUAUCAGUGUUUUACACAUAGAUAAGGAGAGUAUGUGUGAAGUUUUGUAUAGUGAAUGAGUUAGGGCAAUGAUGAAAGGGGCAGCCUGGAGCUUUCUUCCAGGGAAAUUUUUUCAGC